UACGUAGGGGGCAAGCGUUGUCCGGAAUCAUUGGGCGUAAAGCGCGCGUAGGCGGCCCGGUAAGUCCGCUGUAAAAGUCCAGAGCUCAACCCUGGAAAGCCGGUGGAUACUGUCGGGCUAGAGUCCGGAAGAGGCGAGUGGAAUUCCUGGUGUAGCGGUGGAAUGCGCAGAUAUCAGGAGGAACACCGGUGGCGAAGGCGGUUCUCUGGGCCUGUACUGACGCUGAGGAACGAAAGCGUGGGGAGCGAACAGG
rnacentral:rRNA from 1 species